rnacentral:rRNA from 1 species
AGGAUGAACGCUAGCUAUAGGCUUAACACAUGUAAGUCGAGGGGCAGCGAAUAGAUAGCUUGCUAUUUAUGUCGGCGACCGGCGCACGGGUGAGUAACGCGUAUCCAACCUGCCCAUAACUAAGGGAUAACCCAGCGAAAGUUGGACUAAUACCUUAUGUAUUCGUUUGAUCUCAUGAGAUUACGAAUAAAGAUUUAUCGGUUAUGGAUGGGGAUGCGUCUGAUUAGCUUGUUGGCGGGGUAACGGCCCACCAAGGCAACGAUCAGUAGGGGUUCUGAGAGGAAGGUCCCCCACAUUGGAACUGAGACACGGUCCUAACUCCUACGGGAGGCAGCAGUGAGGAAUAUUGGUCAAUGGGCGGGAGCCUGAACCAGCCAAGUAGCGUGCAGGAAGACGGCCCUAUGGGUUGUAAACUGCUUUUAUGCGGGGAUAAAGGAGUCCACGUGUGGGCUUUUGCAGGUACCGCAUGAAUAAGGACCGGCUAAUUCCGUGCCAGCAGCCGCGGUAAUACGGAAGGUCCGGGCGUUAUCCGGAUUUAUUGGGUUUAAAGGGAGCGUAGGCCGCGUUUUAAGCGUGUUGUGAAAUGUAGGCGCCCAACGUCUGCAUCGCAGCGCGAACUGGAACGCUUGAGUACGCGCAACGUUGGCGGAAUUCGUCGUGUAGCGGUGAAAUGCUUAGAUAUGACGAAGAACUCCGAUUGCGAAGGCAGCUGACGGGAGCGGCACUGACGCUUAAGCUCGAAGGUGCGGGUAUCAAACAGGAUUAGAUACCCUGGUAGUCCGCACGGUAAACGAUGGAUGCUCGCUGUGUGCCUUUUGUGGGUACGCGGGCUAAGCGAAAGCGUUAAGCAUCCCACCUGGGGAGUACGCCGGCCAACGGUGAAACUCAAAGGGAAUUUGA